GGGGGGGGGGGGGGGGGCACGCGUCGUCAGCCUGUGAGUGGACUUUGCCAGGCCUGCCACCCGCCGGCCGAAUCCUAACCAGGCCCGAGCGCAGCCUGCAGCCGGGACUCUGGCCCUGCACGCCAGAAACCGAUACCCAGAGGAGGUGCCUUUCUCAGGCAAGGGUUAGGCCGGACUGAGAAAAACCUCCAAUCGGAGGAGAAUGAAUUACGCUCGGUUCAUCACCGCCACGAGCGCGGCCAGAAAGCCUUCUACCAUCCGAGUCAUGACUGAAAUAUUGAGCAAGGCACCGAAAUCUGUCAUCUCCUUGGCAACUGGGGCACCAAACCCCAACACGUUCCCUUUCAAGACUGCGGUCAUCACUAUAGAAAACGGAAAACCCAUCCAAUUUAAUGAACAGAUGAUGAAGAGAGCACUGCAGUAUUCUCAGAGUGCUGGAAUCCCAGAGCUGUUAUCCUGGCUAAAACAGUUACAAGUAAAAUUGCAUAAUCCGCCCACCAUCCAUUAUGCACCCAGCCAAGGACAGAUGGACAUAUGUGUCACGUGUGGCAGCCAAGAAGGUCUCUGUAAGGUGUUUGAAAUGAUCGUUAAUCCUGGAGAUAAUAUCCUUGUAAAUGAACCUAUUUAUUCAGGAACAAUUCAUGCUCUGCAACCCCUGGGCUGCAACAUGAUUAAUGUUUCCAGUGAUGAGCACGGGAUUAUUCCAGACUCCCUCAGAGAAAUACUUUCCAAAUGGAAACCAGAAGAUUCAAAGAACCCCGAGAAAAACAGCCCCAAAUUUAUUUACACUGUCCCAAAUGGCAACAACCCUGCUGGGAACUCAUUAACAGCUGAGCGCAAAAGGGAAAUCUAUGAGCUCGCAAGAAAAUAUGAUUUUCUCAUCAUAGAAGAUGAUCCUUACUAUUUUAUGCAGUUCAACAAGCCCUGGGCACCGACAUUUCUCUCCAUGGACGUGGAUGGGCGUGUCAUCCGAGCUGACUCUUUUUCCAAAGUCCUGUCCUCGGGGUUGAGAAUAGGGUUUAUAACUGGUCCAAAGCCCUUGAUUGAGAGAAUUGUUUUACACAUACAAGUUUCAACAAUGCACCCCAGCACUUUUGCUCAGCUCCUGGUAUCACAGCUUCUAUACCAAUGGGGAGAAGAGGGCUUCCUGGGUCACGUAGACAGGGUUAUUGAUUUCUACAGGAAGCAGAGGGAUGCAUUAAUGGCAGCAGCAGACAAGUGGUUAAGUGGUUUGGCAGAAUGGCAUGUUCCUACUGCAGGAAUGUUUCUAUGGGUUAAAAUUAAGGGCAUUCAUGAUGUAAGAAAACUGAUUGAAGAAAAAGCCUUUAAGAAAGAGAUCCAUGAUGACUGCACACUGCAGAGGGCAUGGUGGGUCACACAGGAGACGUUCAGGGGCCAGGCUGAGAAGGAGUACCAAGGCGUCCCCUCUCCUGGCUGGGAUUCAAGCACUCAGCCACAGGCAUCUAGAAGAGGCUGGCAACAGUGUUCUCAUGGCCGGGAAGCAGCGGACAUGCGCUUUAGGGCAGCGAGCUGCCAGCCACAGAGGUCACCAGAUAUUCAUGCUUCCGGGAUGUGGUUUCUACAUUGAUAGUUCAGCUCCUUGCCCCUACUUCAGAGCAUCCUUCUCUUCAGCUUCUCCAGAACAGAUGGACUUGGCCUUUCAGAGACUGGCCCAACUUAUAAAAGAAUCUUUAUGAAGAAAUCAAAGUUUUCAUAGCACUCAUGGAUUUCAGAUAAAUUAUUUCUGUAUUUCAGCAAGAAGAAACAAUCAUUGGUGCUAGAUUUACAGACAGGGUUUCACUAAAUAUGUCAUGCCUGUAGUAAUUUAACUACACAGCUUUCAAAGUGCCCUUGAACCCAUCAGAUCUCCAAAAUAUAAUUCAUCCAUACCUUUUGAUAAAUAUUCAACCCACACAGUUAAUUUUAUCCUGGGUUUUAUUGUAAAGAACUCUGUAUUCACUUUAUAAUUUCCCAUAAAUCUUCUUUGAAACUGA